UACGGAGGGUGCAAGCGUUAAUCGGAAUUACUGGGCGUAAAGCGCACGCAGGCGGUCUGUUAAGUCAGAUGUGAAAUCCCCGGGCUCAACCUGGGAACUGCAUCUGAUACUGGCAAGCUAGAGUCUUGUAGAGGGGGGUAGAAUUCCAGGUGUAGCGGUGAAAUGCGUAGAGAUCUAGAGGAAUACCGGUGGCAAAGGCGGCCCCCUAGACAAAGACUGACGCUCGGGUGCGAAAGCGUGGGGAGCAAACAGG
rnacentral:rRNA from 1 species